rnacentral:tRNA from 1 species
AUAUAUAUAGUAUAUAAAUAUACAUUUAAUCUCCAAUUAAAAAAAUUAAUUAAAUUUAAUAUAUAUA